rnacentral:rRNA from 1 species
GAUCUGGCUCAGGACGAACGCUGGCGGCACGCUUAACACAUGCAAGUCGAACGGUGAAGAGAAGCUUGCUUCUCGGAUCAGUGGCGGACGGGUGAGUAACACGUGAGCAACCUGCCUUUAAGAGGGGAUAACGUUUGGAAACGAACGCUAAUACCGCAUAACAUAGAAGAUUCGCACGUUUCUUCUAUCAAAGAUUUAUCGCUUAAAGAUGGGCUCGCGUCUGAUUAGCUGGUUGGUGAGG